CCGCCGCAGGCCCGGCCUGGGAGUCGGGCUGCUCGGACCGGCCCCACGCGCACUCGGCCCCCGGGAGCGCAGGGCGGUGCCAGAAGGUUCCCGUUUGGUGGGAAUGAAGUAACGCGAAGCCCCUAACUCAGACACACGGACCUUCACCUCCCCGCGGGCCCUGCCUGUCGCAGGGUGCCAUCCCCUGGGAGAGCCCGCCUGCUCGGAGGCAGGCCUCUGCGGACGGAGCGCCCGCGUCCACCCAGAGGUGCUCCCCCCUCCCGUGGUUCCGGGAGUAAACACGGGGGCCGAGCGAGCCCUCGCGUGACCGCCUCGCCCGGUGUCGCCGCGUCUGGUUUCUGUUGUGAGCGCUCGGGCCACCUUGGAAACCCGGUGCUGCUGCCGAGCCGCCAGUUGCAGGUUUCAAGAGGGCAUUGACACUUAAGAUGCCCCGCGAGCUGCUCACCUGUCCUUUCCUGAGGAUGCCUGUCUUAGAUGUCAAGCUGAAAACAAACAAGAGGAUUGUGUUGACAGCCACUUGGAAAAUUUCAUUGUUUGUCACGUGAGGAAUUGCACUGCUUAUUGAUGACAACACAAUUUAUCAGCACUUCUAGGAAACAACUCAGCAGAUGUACAGCUGAUAAUAUUUAGAAGCAUGUCAUCUAUUCAUAAUACCUACUUAUGAACUUGAAAACACUUAAAACUUAUAUCUUAAUAAAUAAAAAUCAGGAGGAUAUUUUUUAAUAAAAUAAAGCCAAAACAUCUCCAAAGUCAGUGCAUGACUGAGAACUCAGGUCUGCGAUCUAAGGAAGACUCAAGUCCUUUAAUCUCCUAACUUCCGGAAGACAGCAUAUGGAGCUGUAUAGGAACCAGGGCCACCACAUCAUUCACAGAUUCUAGAACUGUGGUGGAACGUCCCCUAAGCACAAACCUUACACAUUGGUCUGGGGAGAAUGUAAUCAUUCCUUCCACAACUGCUGCAUGUCCCUGUGGGUGAAACAGAACAAUCGCUGCCCUCUCUGCCAGCAAGAC